GUUACUUCCUUUGCAGGAACGUUCCUGGGGCCUAUGGACAGACUCUCACUGAGCACUGACUGAUCAGAUAAGUAUUGUCCAGUCGCUCACCUCUGCUCAAACUCUGUUCCCAGUCUUGGUUCUCUGUAGGUACCAUGGAUUCUUUAGAGGAUCUUUCUGCUCUCUCCCCUCAGGUUCAGCUCAGAGACCAGCUCAUCAUUUGUCCCAGUAAAUGACAGUUAUCUUAUUUUACUACUGGGGAGGAUUAGGCUGCCCAUCAUCUGCUGGGACAUCUGAUAGCUUAGGAAGGGGUCAGGAAUCACAGAAACAGACGGGAAUCAGGGGUGUUAACCCCAAAACCUGCUGUUGGGGAGGCCCCCCCCAUCAAGACCACUCCAGUAAAGGACUCUGCAUGUGGCAGGAGGGGACGAGUGCACCAUCUCCUUGCCCUCUUCAUUCCCCUGCAUCAUGGGAAGAAAGUGGUGCACAGACCCUGGAGUGGGAAUUAUGGACUUUUGUGAACCCUGCAACCAAGGGAGACGCUGGGAAGAGGACUGUGGCCCAGGAAGGGCGAAGGGCUUGUGUUGUUUUGUUUGGAUUCUCACUCCUCCCAGAAGAGGGAGGACACUUGUUGCCAUGGUGACUGUGGAGAGCUACACGGAAUUUAUUGCCCAGCUGCUGAGGGGAAACUGAGGCAUGGCCAGAGUUCAACUGAGGAACAGGCUCCCCGGAUGCCAGGCCAGAUUCUAGGUCAGCUGGGAGAGGAGCCAAAGCCAGGGACACUGCACUGGCUGGAGCUGACUCUGCCAUGGCUGUGUAGAGCCAUUUCUUGCAACUGGCUCCAAGCUGAUCAGAGUCCAGCACCCACCGCUGCCUCCCUGAGAAGAGAGAUGGGGGAGGGAGCGGAAGCAGAUCCCCUUGGACAGCCUCUUAACAACACCAUAGACUUGGAGA